UUGAAUAAAAACCGAGUGGGGUUGUUGCUGGCCUCUGGCAUGUGCACACCUCAUUUCGUGUCCAUCUUCACACCUCUGUGCACUUCUCAUGGGUUGGGUUGCGUCUGAAAUAUUGACGAGACCCUGCCUGUGUGUCUUCACCACAUACUAUUGUUUGUAUCAGAAUGUUAUCACUGUGCAUGAAUGCAUAUAAAUA
rnacentral:misc_RNA from 1 species